ensembl:lncRNA CABP1-DT CABP1 divergent transcript
CUCCCAAUACCGUGCGGGGGGACUAGGACGACCCUGGUAAGUCAGCCACAGGAUAUCAGUUCUCAGAAUAGAAGAGAAGCCAGGUCUGGCAGCACCUGAUGAUGCAUUUCCAAUUAAUCUUGGAAUGAGAGCCGAGGGCAAGAAGCCAGCGGUGCCUGAGGGAUGCUAAAGAGCCAACCGAUCCAGGGAAACAAAUGCCAGCGAGGGACCCCACAGCAAAGAGACAGACACUGUGAGCAACUCUCCUGUUACCAUGAGGCUUGCGAGGCGUGUGUGCGGGUCUCCGCAUUGGCACCAUCUGCCAAUUCCUCAGGAGGACAGAACAAACCAGUGAGGCAUGAAGAUUAGAUUAUGUAACGCUCGAGGAUUGCUGUUUUCAAAGAGGAAACAAAUGGAAUGAAUUGAUUUGCUUGUCAAAGUCAUGUCACUAAAGGAGAUCUAUUCCCUCCCCUUCUAAGAGGACCUCAUUAAAGAGUGGAAUGAUUUCACAGAUUCA